rnacentral:rRNA from 1 species
UACGAAGGGGGAGCUAGCGUUGCUCGGAAUCACUGGGCGUAAAGCGCACGUAGGCGGAUCUUUAAGUCAGGGGUGAAAUCCUGGAGCUCAACUCCAGAACUGCCUUUGAUACUGGGGAUCUCGAGUCCGGAAGAGGUGAGUGGAACUCCGAGUGUAGAGGUGAAAUUCGUAGAUAUUCGGAAGAACACCAGUGGCGAAGGCGGCUCACUGGUCCGGUACUGACGCUGAGGUGCGAAAGCGUAGGGAGCGAACAGG